AAGGAGCACAUUAGGUGGAUAAUGUUUGACAGGACUGUUGUUAUUGAGGCUCAAAGGUCUAAGUCUGUUUUUCUGUCACAUCCACCUUCACACUUCAGAGGUGCUUCUGUUUGGGAGCGAGUUUAAAUUGUAUCUGGGCUUUCCGGUGCGUGGGAGUUCCUCAUUGUCAUAAUGAUGCAGGAACUGGCCUUCUAUCCAGCCGUGGCGCUGAUGUAUUUCUUUGGAGUGAUGAAAGCCACGCAGGACGAUCGGGUGGAGCUGAACGACCGGGCAUCAAUGAACGUGUUCUGUCUGUUCGUGUUGGCACAGCCGCUCUGUCUGGUAAUUGGUUCGUACACUGGCAUGGCGACUUUCCUCAUCACAGCUCUGGUUUCCUACAACUUCCUCCCGUGGAGAGAGACAAAGCAGACUGCAAAAAGCAAAGAAUCAAAGAAGAAGAAGACCAAGUGAGAGUGAGGAUCAUAAGCAGCAUGGAGAUGAAGGGAAAGUGGGUGCAAAUGUGAAUGUAAAUUCAUAAAUACAUGUCCUCUUUUGCUAAACCAUGCUUUUGUGAUGUAACCUGUUUCCAUAAAAGUGAUGUUUCUUUUGCAGUUGUUAUUAACUGUGAGAAACUGUCUAUCCAAUGGACAGUCUGUCUUGUUUUGCACAAGAAGUGACCCAUUUUAUGAUUCCUGAUGUAGUACAGGGUUUAUUUUAAACAAACAUGGAUUGGUAGCUCAAUAGUCACCCUGGAUGAAAAACAACAAUCAAAAGAAUAUCAAAUCCUAAAAAACCAACUGAACCUGAUACAGAACAGAACAGAAACCCCUUAUGUUUCAAUCAGAACUCUCAAAGCCAACUAGCUAACACUGUAAAUAAUAGUAAUAAUAAUGUAUUUUUUAAAAACUUUAAAAGUUUACACAUUUGUCUUUCCAUAUAUUUUUGAAAUAUUUCAAAAUAGCAAUGGAAUUACAAAACUCCAUUAUAUAAAAUAAACAAUUCGUUUACAGGUUUAAUGUAAAUAACAGUGUAAAACUUUUAAAAGAUAAUAAGAUUUCCAUAUCUCCAAAGAAAACUUUUUUCUCUUUUUUUUUACACGAGCCUGUUGUUGUAUUUUCACAAAAUAUAUUACAAUUUCAGAAAUAUUGCUUCAAGAUCCAAGUUUAUUACUGUAAACAUAUGUCUAAAAUUACUUAUAGUGACAAAUAACAGAAAAAGAAGUAUUGGUUCUGUAAUUUUACAUGUAUGUAUUUUAUUUGGGGAAAAAUACUGAAACCCCAGCUGCCAGAAUAUUGCUGUUUGAUUUUUGGGUUUUUUUUUUUUGUUGUUGUUGUUUAUUUUUGUUUUGUUUUGUUUUACAGUUUGUGGAUAUCUUUCAAAGAAUUAAAACUAAGUUAAAUACUUG